ACUCCUACGGGAGGCAGCAGUGGGGAAUAUUGCACAAUGGGGGAAACCCUGAUGCAGCCAUGCCGCGUGUGUGAAGAAGGCCUUCGGUUGUAAAGCACUUUCAGUAGGGAGGAAGGUAGUGUAGUUAACACCUGCAUUAUUUGACGUUACCUACAGAAGAAGCACCGGCUAACUCCGUGCCAGCAGCCGCGGUAAUACGGAGGGUGCGAGCGUUAAUCGGAAUUACUGGGCGUAAAGCGCAUGCAGGCGGCCUGUUAAGUCAGAUGUGAAAGCCCGGGGCUUAACCUCGGAAUUGCAUUUGAAACUGGCAGGCUAGAGUCUUGUAGAGGGGGUAGGAA
rnacentral:rRNA from 1 species